rnacentral:rRNA from 1 species
CCUACGGGAGACAGCAGUGAGGAAUAUUGGUCAAGGGACGAGAGUCUGAACCAGCCAAGUAGCGUGAAGGAUGACUGCCCUAUGGGUUGUAAACUGCUUUUAUAGGGGAAUAAAAUGUGCCACGUGUGGGAUUUUGUAUGUACCAUAUGAAUAAGGAUCGGCUAACUCCGGGCCAGCAGCCGCGGUAAUACGGAGGAUCCGAGCGUUAUCCGGCUUUAUUGGGGUUAAAGGGAGCGUAGGGGGAUUGUUAAGUCAGUUGUGAAAGUUUGCGGCUCACCCGUAAAAUUGCAGUUGAAACGGGCAGUCUUGCGUUCAGUAGAGGUGGGCGGAAUUCGUGGUGUAGCGG